GGAGGGUGCGAGCGUUACCCGGAUUUACUGGGCGUAAAGGGCGUGUAGGCGGUUUUCUAAGUCCGGGGCUAAAGACCAGGGCUCAACCCUGGGUUUGCCUUGGAUACUGGAAAGCUCGACGGCUGGAGGGGGCAGCGGAAUUUCCGGAGUAGCGGUGAAAUGCGCAGAUACCGGAAGGAACGCCAAUAGCGAAGGCAGCUGCCUGGACAGUACGUGACGCUGAGGCGCGAAAGCGUGGGGAGCAAACCGGAUUAGAUACCCGGGGGUAGUCCACGCCCUAAACGAUGAGUGCUGGGUGUCCGGCGUUUGCCCGGGUGCCCGAAGCUAACGCGUUAAGCACUCCGCCUGGGAAGUACGGUCGCAAGACUG
rnacentral:rRNA from 1 species